rnacentral:tRNA from 1 species
UGGGGGCUUAGCUCAGCUGGGAGAGCGCCUGCUUUGCACGCAGGAGGUCAGCGGUUCGAUCCCCUCCACCGCCAC